rnacentral:rRNA from 1 species
GCAAAUCAAUAUAAAUUGAUUUUAUAUAAUUUAUUUAUUAUAAUUUUUUUUUUUAUGUUAUAUUAUAUUAAAAAUAAUUGUAAAAUUAAUUAUGUUUUAGUAGUUUUUAGUGAAAAAAUAAUUUUUAUAAUAGUUUAUUAAGUAUUGUAUAAGAAUAUUGAAAUAUUUUGAAAAAUUGUUAUUUAAAAAGAAAAUUUUGUUUAUUGUACCUUGUGUAUCAGGGUUUAUUAAAUAAUUAUUAAAUAUUUAUUUAUCUCGAUUUUAUAAGAGUUAAUGAUUUAUAAAAUUUAUUGUAUCAAAACUAUUUUUAAUAAAUUAUUAGAAAUGAAAUGUUAUUCGUUUAUGAAGGUAUCUAGUUUUUUUAGAAAUAAAUUUAAUUUACAAAUUUUUAAUAUUUUAGUUAUUUUUUAAAUUAAAAUAUUUAUUAAUUUGAAUAUUCUAUGGGAUAAGCUUUAGAAUAUAUUAUUAAAAAUUAAUAGAUUUAAUAAUAAAUGUAUGUUUAGAAUUAUCAAUCAUUUAUAAGUUUAUUAUAAAUUAUUUUAUAGUUUAUAAUAUUUAUUAUAUUUUAAUUUUUUAUAAAAAUAAUUUUUUUAAUUAUAUAAAAAAAGAAAUAAUGAUAAAAUUAGUAUAUUUAAUUGUUUAAUUAAUUUAAAAAUGAUAAGUUUGUAUAAAGAAUUCGGCAAAUAUAUAUGCUCGCCUGUUUAACAAAAACAUGUCUUUUUGAAUUGUAUAAAAAGUCUGACCUGCCCACUGAAUUUAUUUAAAUGGCCGCAGUAUCCUAACUGUGCAAAGGUAGCAUAAUCAUUAGUCUUUUAAUUGGAGGCUGGAAUGAAUGGUUGGACGAAGUAUAAUCUGUUUCAUUUAAAUUUAUAUUAGAAUUUUAUAUUUUAGUUAAAAAGCUAAAAUUUUAUUAAAAGACGAGAAGACCCUAUAAAUCUUUAUAUUUUAUAUUAUUUAAAUUUUUUAGAUAAUUUUUAUUUUUAUAAUAUAAAAUAUUUUGUUGGGGUGAUAUUAAAAUUUAUAUAACUUUUAAUUUUUUAAGAUUCAUUAAUUUAUGUUUUUUUGAUCCAUUAAUAAUGAUUAUAAGAUUAAGUUACUUUAGGGAUAACAGCGUAAUUUUCUUGGCGAGUUCAUAUCGAUAAAAAAGUUUGCGACCUCGAUGUUGGAUUAAAAUUAUUUUUAGGUGUAGCUGCUUAAAUAUUAAGUCUGUUCGACUUU